rnacentral:tRNA from 2 species
GCCCCCAUAGCUCAGUUGGUAGAGCGACGGACUGUUAAUCCGUAGGUCGCAGGUUCGAGUCCUGCUGGGGGCGCCA